UACGGGAGGCAGCAGUGGGGAAUAUUGCACAAUGGGCGCAAGCCUGAUGCAGCCAUGCCGCGUGUAUGAAGAAGGCCUUCGGGUUGUAAAGUACUUUCAGCGGGGAGGAAGGUGUUGAGGCUAAUAACCUCAGCAAUUGACGUUACCCGCAGAAGAAGCACCGGCUAACUCCGUGCCAGCAGCCGCGGUAAUA
rnacentral:rRNA from 1 species